rnacentral:rRNA from 1 species
UAUGGCUCAGGAUGAACGCUGGCGGCGUGCUUAACACAUGCAAGUCGAACGAAGCUCCUUGAACUGAAGAUUCGUCUGAUGGGAUAGGAAGACUUAGUGGCGGACGGGUGAGUAACGCGUGGGUAACCUGCCGUAUACAGGGGGAUAACAGUUAGAAAUGACUGCUAAUACCGCAUAAGCGCACAGUAAGGCAUCUUACAGUGUGAAAAAACUCCGGUGGUAUACGAUGGACCCGCGUCUGAUUAGCCAGUUGGCAGGGUAACGGCCUACCAAAGCGACGAUCAGUAGCCGGCCUGAGAGGGUGAACGGCCACAUUGGGACUGAGACACGGCCCAAACUCCUACGGGAGGCAGCAGUGGGGAAUAUUGCACAAUGGGGGAAACCCUGAUGCAAGCGACGCCGCGUGAGUGAAGAAGCAUUUCGGUGCGUAAAGCUCUAUCAGCAGGGAAGAAAAUGACGGUACCUGACUAAGAAGCCCCGGCUAACUACGUGCCAGCCGCUGC